AGUGAACGCUGGCGGUAGGCCUAACACAUGCAAGUCGAACGGCAGCACAGUAAGAUCUUGCUCUUACGGGUGGCGAGUGGCGGACGGGUGAGGAAUACAUCGGAAUCUACUUUUUCGUGGGGGAUAACGUAGGGAAACUUACGCUCAUACCGCAUACGACCUACGGGUGAAAGCAGGGGAUCUUCGGACCUUGCGCGAUUGAAUGAGCCGAUGUCGGAUUAGCUAGUUGGCGGGGUAAAGGCCCACCAAGGCGACGAUCCGUAGCUGGUCUGAGAGGAUGGUCAGCCACACUGGAACUGAGACACGGUCCAGACUCCUACGGGAGGCAGCAGUGGGGAAUAUUGGACAAUGGGCGCAAGCCUGAUCCAGCCAUACCGCGUGGGUGAAGAAGGCCUUCGGGUUGUAAAGCCCUUUUGUUGGGAAAGGAAAGCAGCAGGUUAAUACCCCGCUGUUCUGACGGUAACCAAAGAAUAAGCACCGGCUAACUUCGUG
rnacentral:rRNA from 1 species